GGGGGUAUAGCUCAGUGGGAGAGCAUUUGACUGCAGAUCAAGAGGUCCCUGGUUCAAUAUAAAUACCUCAA
rnacentral:tRNA from 1 species